rfam:Emiliania huxleyi CCMP1516 EMIHTscaffold_790_Cont8891, whole genome shotgun sequence.
GCCCCCGUGGCCUAAUGGAUAAGGCGUCCGACCCCGGAUCGGAAGAUUGUGAGUUCGACUCUCACCGGGGGUG